AGACGAACCGUGCGAACGUUGUUCGGAAUCACUGGGCUUAAAGGGCGCGUAGGCGGGCUGUCAAGUCUGUGGUGAAAUCUUCCGGCUCAACCGGAAAAGUGCCUCGGAUACUGGCGGCCUAGAGCGAGGUAGGGGCAUGUGGAACUUCCGGUGGAGCGGUGAAAUGCGUUGAUAUCGGAAGGAACGCCGGUGGCGAAAGCGACAUGCUGGAUCUCUUCUGACGCUGAGGCGCGAAAGCUAGGGGAGCGAACGGGAUUAGAAACCCCGGUAGUCC
rnacentral:rRNA from 1 species